rnacentral:tRNA from 1 species
GGAGAGGUACCCAAGUGGCUCAAGGGGACGGUUUGCUAAACCGUUAGUGUUCGUAAGGGCAGCGAGGGUUCGAAUCCCUCCCUCUCCGCCA